rnacentral:rRNA from 1 species
UACGGAGGGUGCAAGCGUUGUCCGGAAUUAUUGGGCGUAAAGAGCUCGUAGGCGGCUUGUUGCGUCAGCUGUGAAAACCCGCAGCUCAACUGUGGGCUUGCAGCUGAUACGGGCAGGCUUGAGUUCGGUAGGGGAGACUGGAAUUCCUGGUGUAGCGGUGAAAUGCGCAGAUAUCAGGAGGAACACCGGUGGCGAAGGCGGGUCUCUGGGCCGAUACUGACGCUGAGGAGCGAAAGCGUGGGGAGCGAACAGG